CGACGUGAGGAACCUGCCUUUCAGAGGGGGACAACAGUUGGAAACGACUGCUAAUACCGCAUGAUGUAUCGGAGUCGCAUGGCACUGAUACCAAAGAUUUAUCGCUGAAAGAUGGCCUCGCGUCUGAUUAGCUAGUUGGUGAGGUAACGGCCCACCAAGGCGACGAUCAGUAGCCGGACUGAGAGGUUGACCGGCCACAUUGGGACUGAGAUACGGCCCAGACUCCUACGGGAGGCAGCAG
rnacentral:rRNA from 1 species